UACGGAGGGUGCAAGCGUUAUCCGGAAUCACUGGGCUUAAAGGGUGCGUAGGCGGCCUUGUAAGUCAGAGGUGAAAUCUUCCCGCUUAACGGGAGAACUGCCUUUGAUACUGCAAAGCUUGAAUGAGCACGAGGCAGGCGGAAUGUGGCAUGUAGCGGUGAAAUGCUUAGAUAUGCCGUAGAACACCGAUUGCGAAGGCAGCCUGCCAGAGCUGUAUUGACGCUGAGGCACGAAAGCGUGGGGAGCGAACAGG
rnacentral:rRNA from 1 species